CGAGUUUCGACAUUUUUUGCAUUUUUUCGAUAUUUAAUUAAUUUGCAAUCCUUUCAUGCAAGAUCUUCGAUUUGAAAAUCAUUGGCAGAAAUCAUAUUUCAUUGAUAACAAAUUAACGAACGAUGAAAAAGAGAUGAAAGAAAAGCGAAGACAAGACAUAAUUAAUCCGAAAUAUUUCGUCAAUAAUGAAAUUCAACUUUUCAUUUCAUCGCCAUUAUUUGAUGGAUGAUUCCGGAGCCCACUUUGUAUCAUCGUCUCUAGCUAUAUCUUGAGUUACAUCAUCCAUGACGUUAAGUGUCAGUGAAUCACUUUCCGUCCACUGAUCAACGGAUGACCUCAUUUGACUAACAAGUUUAUGAGUCAAACUGUUAUAUUAAGCCAAUCAUUGGACGAUCCUUUUUAAUUCUUUUGCUCUCCAAUUUUGUCCUUAAAUUUGCGUUUACACGAUUGAAGGAUGAAAAGCGAAGAGAAGAAAGAAAAUGGAAUACGUAUUAUUGCAUAUCAAGAAGAGACAAUAUUUUUUUUUCUUGGUUAUCUCCAAGUUAUUGAUAAUUAUUGCUUUUACGUAACCGUUUGGAAACUUUGGAAAAGGUUAAUACAUCACGAAGUCAUCAAUUGCA